rnacentral:rRNA from 1 species
AUUGAACGCUGGCGGCAUGCUUUACACAUGCAAGUCGAACGGCAGCACGGGUGCUUGCACCUGGUGGCGAGUGGCGGACGGGUGAGUAAUACAUCGGAACGUGUCCUGAAGUGGGGGAUAACGCAUCGAAAGAUGUGCUAAUACCGCAUAAUCUCUAAGGAGAAAAGUAGGGGAUCGAAAGACCUUAUGCUUUUGGAGCGGCCGAUGUCUGAUUAGCUAGUUGGUAAGGUAAUGGCUUACCAAGGCGACGAUCAGUAGUUGGUCUGAGAGGACGGCCAGCCACACUGGGACUGAGACACGGCCCAGACUCCUACGGGAGGCAGCAGUGGGGAAUUUUGGACAAUGGGCGCAAGCCUGAUCCAGCAAUGCCGCGCGAGUGAAGAAGGCCUCGGUUGUAAGACGUCUUUCUAGUU